rfam:Arabis alpina cultivar Pajares Aa.chr8_contig_4296, whole genome shotgun sequence.
AAGCUGUGCAGUGAGAACAAUGCGAACUAUUCUUUCGCCUUUUACUAAAGAAUACCGUGUUCUAUGCUCUUAAGAAUAAUGCACAAUCUUGAGUUUGAAAUUAUUUAGUUACCAUUAUU